GACGAACGCUGGCGGCGCGCUUUAUACAUGCAAGUCGAACGUGAAGCUCGGAGCUUGCUCCGGGUGGAAAGUGGCGAACGGGUGAGUAUCACGUGAGAAACCUGCCCCGAAGACCGGGAUAACACCGGGAAACCGGUGCUAAUACCGGAUGCCCUCACCGGAUCGCAUGGUCUGGUGAGGAAAUGGAUUCCGCUUCGGGAUGGUCUCGCGGCCUAUCAGCUUGUUGGUGGGGUAANGGCCCACCAAGGCUUCGACGGGUAGCUGGUCUGAGAGGAUGUCCAGCCACACUGGGACUGAGACACGGCCCAGACUCCUACGGGAGGCAGCAGUAGGGAAUCUUGCACAAUGGACGAAAGUCUGAUGCAGCGACGCCGCGUGUGGGAUGACUG
rnacentral:rRNA from 1 species